ACCUAACCAGCACCAUAAUCAACUCAAUACUAUCGAUAAGCUGAAUCCAUGACGGGAGAAACCUAACUAACUAACUAACCAACUACAUGUUCCAACUGUGCGUCAGAGACUAAUUUCUCGAAAUACUGAGAUUCAUUGAUGAAACCUAACUAACCUGAUCUUCGAGAAUGAUUCCGGCGAAACCAGCGCCGAUGUAUCCCUUGAGAGUUCUCUUGAGGUUCAUGGCGUUGCCGUAGCCAUUGUCGGCAUCGCCGAUGACGGGAAUGGAAACGGCCUGGGUGAUGAGGCGGCCUUGAUCGAGAAUUUCGCCGUAAGAGAUGAGACCGGUGUCGGGCAAGGCGAGCCUGGAAGCGGAGAUGGAGAAGCCGCUGGUGAAGCAGAAUUGAAAGCCCGCGGUCUGAACGAGCUUGGCGCUGAGAGCGUCGAAACAUGCAGGACCUUGGUGAACUCCCGGGGAGUCGAGGAUUCGGCGAAGGAGCUUGGCGGGAGAAGAAGAAGAAGAAGCAUCAUUCCCAGCCAAAGAACACGCUAUGGAGGGAAAGGAUUUGGAUGUUCGGAGGAACGAAAUGGAAGAAGAUCGAAAUGGGAGGGGACCGCCGCCGCCUCCACCGCCGCCACCGCUACCACCACUGAGACUGAGACUGACCGUAACAGAGGCACUGCAAACCGUUGAAAUCUUCAUCGCUCUCUCUACUCUUCACUCCCACUCAUUUCAUUUCAUUUCAUUUCAUUUCAACUAGUAUUACGGGUAUUUUUAAAAUUAUUAUUGAACAUUUAUAAGAAUAUAUUUUAUUAUAUAUAAAAAGUAAUAAAAUUAUAUGACAUCUUAUUUAGAAUAAUAAUAACAAUAAUUAAAAAAAACUAUGAUGAGUUUGUUUAUAAUGACAUAAAUUGCUUUUAAAUAUUUUUGUCAAUAAUUACUCCGUAUAAAGUAAUAGGUUAAAUUUGGAAUAAAUUGAAUAAUAAAGUAUGGUGUCUUUGUUAAAAGGUACUUUCUGUAGAGACUUUGGUAUAUAAUAAAUAUUUACAAUAAUAUUUAAAUGAUCUUAAUUGUUAUUUUUUAAUUAUUUUAAUAGAAAAAGAAAAAAAUCAACUUAAAUUAUCACUUAAUAGUAUAUGUACAUUCUUUUUGAAAUUGUUAUUAAUAUUUAUAGUUUAAAAUUCUUUCACUUCAUGAAUUUAGUUUUGAUGAAACAAUUAGAAUCACUUAAAAUAAUAUAGAAUAAUUUGUAUUCUUUUACUUUUACUUUAAGAACAACUGAACAUAGAUGACAGGUGUGCAUUAUGAAUUUAAGUCUAUUAUUUAAAAAUGAUUUAUUUUAAUUUUUUAUCUAUUAUCGAUAAUAUAUAUAUACACACACGAGAAUUUGUCUUAUUUAAAACUUAACCGAUAAUUCUAAAUUAAAUCAAUGUUUAAUAUACAUAUUUUGUUAUCAAUGUUUUUAUUUGUAAAAAUAAUAACAAAAAUAACAUAUUUAUUCAAAUCAUUUAUUAGCAACAUUGUUUUAUUACAAAGAUUAUUUUGUAUCCGUGUUUCUUAAAAGCAUUAUAUAUACACAAAUUCCAGUUUAAUUAGAAUAUUUAACGUGUUAAAAAACUUUGAUAUCAAUGGUCUUUGAUAUAUGUGUUUGAAUCUGUAAUAUUUAUUCGCAAUUAAAAAUAAAUUUACACGAUCAACCCGAAGUAUUCACACUAUUGAAGAAAGUCUAUGUUUAAAAGCUAAAAGAGAUAUUCUAUACCAAUCUUAAAUAUAAGAUUUACUAUUUCCAAAAUCUGAUAUGAAGGAAACAGAUAACAUAUCCAUUAUGAGAAAUAAUUUUUCUUACAAAAAUUCUCAAUAUUUAAAAAAAAAACAAUUUUGAUAUUGAAAAAUCCUAAUUAAAAAAAAUAUAUUGUAAGACUUAGAAGAACAUUUUGGAUCUUAAAAUAAGAUGUAUCGUUAACACAAAUUAAUGGAAAUAUUAAAAGAUCUUAUACCAUCCUUAAAAUAAAGGUAUUGACGAUAAUUUAGUCUAUAAUGUUAAAAUAAUAUCUUGCAAAGUAAACUUUUAAUUUACUUGGAAACUUAAUAAAAUUUGUGAAAAUCAUCAACGGCUAAUCAGAAGGGUUUUGUUUAUUUUUUAUGGUCUCGAACAUAUCCCAUAGACAUUUAAGAAUAGAAGUAACACACCAAAUACAUGACUGAUAAUUCAAUUACCACUUGAAUAAGCACAUCAUCGACACUAGAAUACCCUUCUUCGUAAAGAAAGGAUUGUUGUCUCUAAAACAUCCUUUUUUAAGCCUUUUGAUUGGUGUUUGAAGCAUAGCGCUCUUCUUCUUUGUAGUAAGUGUUGAAACCUACAAUGUCCUUAAUUUCUUCAAAAGACGGCAUGCUUCCUGGAGGAGGAACACCUCCUCCUUUAAUUGCAAUGAGUGCAUCCUACAAAUUCAGUCAGAUAUAUAUACACAUUUAUUAUCUGAAAAUGAAACUACACAAAAUUAAAACAUCAAAAGAAUGGUGCAUCCGAUACUUUGGCCUGUUAUAUGAGGAAGAACUCCUCUAACAACAAUUCACAGGAAGCACCACAAAUAUCUCUGCAUGUCUGAUCUAAAGCCUGAACUUAUCACGCAACCAGGCAUCAUAAACGUAAUAAAACAAUAAAUGGGAAAGAAGUUUCACCUGCAUUGCUUUUAUGCAAACCCCAAUCAAGGAAAGUGGAUAAACAGCAAGUUUAUAACCAACUUCUUCAAGUUCCUUAGGACUCAGUAUAGGCGUUUUGCCUCCUCCUUCAAGCAUAUUUGCCUACACAACACGAGAGUGUGGGUCAACAUCCUCAAUGCGUUUAUACUUCAUACCUUGACUCGUAAUAAAAAAUGAUCAGCAACUAAGUUAUUAAAUUACUAGAAACGAAUGGACUGAUUCAUAAGAGUAGGAUUGUACAAAUUGUAAGACUAGAUAUAUGGGAAUGGUCCAACAUUAAAAAUGCAGAGACUUUGAUACCGGAUUAGAUUAUGAGAUAACGAUAUUUUAACAUCGUAUUCAUGUCUCAGUGUUUAUGAUUAUUAUUAUGAAUUAUAGAUUAUAUAGUAAUUUUGAACCAACACACGUGGAUAAGAUAAGGUUAAAAUGUUGAAAAUAUCAUUAUCCUGUAGGAAAAACUUUCCCUGUAAAAACUUGAUAGAAAAGAAAUUAAACUUAUCUUGGUAAAUGAAAAUCAAUUUAUGCAGUUCAAGCUGUUAAUUGGACAAGUUAAAUGAGAAACAGAGCAAAUCAGGCAUGCGGAAAUCUUUCAAAGAGCAUUUUGCAGAACAGUUUGUGCGCAAUUGAAGAGGCAAGGCGUGCAUUACUAGAAGAGAGAUGAAGAUACCAGUUUAGGAACAUGGGGAGAAACUUGACAAAAUGCUCUCAUUUCUUCAACGGAAGCGAGUGCGUCUAUGAAAAGAACAUCGGCCCCAGCCUCCGCAAAUGCCUUGCACCUGAUGAACGCUUCCUCCAAGGAUACGGCUUGCCGAGCAUCGGUGCGCGCCACAAUCACAAUAUCGGAGCCGCUCUCCGCUCGAGCAUCCACGGCGGCUCUAAUCUUCAUCACCGCCUCUUCCCUGGGCAACACCUUCCUGCCGCGAGUGUGCCCACACGCUUUCGGCGCAACCUGUCCAAUUCGAGUCGGGCAUUAAGAAAAAGAACAAUGAAUGAAUGAAUGGAAGAUGUGAGAAAAGAAACAGGAGUAAGUGACCUGAUCUUCGAGAAGGAUUCCUGCGAAGCCGGCGGAAAUGAAACCCUUGACGGUUCUCUUGAGGUUCAUGGCGUUGCCGUAACCGUUGUCGGCGUCGGCGAUGAUGGGAAUGGAGACGGCUUGGGCGAUGAGUUGGCACUGAUCGAGCAUUUCGCCGUAAGAGAUGAAGCCGGUGUCGGGUAAAGCCAGCCUUGAAGCGGCGAUGGAGAAGCCGCUGGUAAUGCAGUAGGGGAAACCGGCGGAUUCAAUGAGCUUUGCGCCGAUAGCGUCGAAGCACGCCGGUCCCUGGUGAACGCCGGGGGUUUGCAGCAGUUCUCUGAGCACCUUCGCCUUUGCCAUCUUAUCACUUCACUUCCCUACUGAC
rnacentral:lncRNA from 1 species